rnacentral:rRNA from 1 species
GUUUGAUCCUGGCUCAGGAUGAACGCUGGCGGCAUGCCUAAUACAUGCAAGUCGAACGAGAGGAAGGAAAGCUUGCUUUUCUGAAUCUAGUGGCGAACGGGUGAGUAACACGUAGGUAACCUGCCCAUGUGCCCGGGAUAACUUCUGGAAACGGAUGCUAAAACCGGAUAGGUAGCAGACAAGCAUUUGACUGCUAUUAAAGUGGCUAAGGCCAUGAACAUGGAUGGACCUGCGGUGCAUUAGCUAGUUGGUGAGGUAACGGCCCACCAAGGCGACGAUGCAUAGCCGGCCUGAGAGGGCGGACGGCCACAUUGGGACUGAGACACGGCCCAAACUCCUACGGGAGGCAGCAGUAGGGAAUUUUCGUCAAUGGGGGGAACCCUGAACGAGCAAUGCCGCGUGAGUGAGGAAGGUCUUCGGAUCGUAAAGCUCUGUUGUAAGAGAAAAACGACAUUCAUAGGGAAUGAUGAGUGAGUGAUGGUAUCUUACCAGAAAGUCACGGCUAACUACGUGCCAGCAGCCGCGGUAAUACGUAGGUGGCGAGCGUUAUCCGGAAUGAUUGGGCGUAAAGGGUGCGUAGGUGGCAGAACAAGUCUGGAGUAAAAGGUAUGGGCUCAACCCGUACUGGCUCUGGAAACUGUUCAGCUAGAGAACAGAAGAGGACGGCGGAACUCCAUGUGUAGCGGUAAAAUGCGUAGAUAUAUGGAAGAACACCGGUGGCGAAGGCGGCCGUCUGGUCUGGAUUCUGACACUGAAGCACGAAAGCGUGGGGAGCAAAUAGGAUUAGAUACCCUAGUAGUCCACGCCGUAAACGAUGAGAACUAGGUGUUGGGGGAAUAACUCAGUGCCGCAGUUAACGCAAUAAGUUCUCCGCCUGGGGAGUAUGCACGCAAGUGUGAAACUCAAAGGAAUUGACGGGGGCCCGCACAAGCG